AAUCAACGCUGGCGGCGUGCCUCAGACAUGCAAGUCGAACGAUUAAAGCUCUCUUCGGAGAGUGCAUAGAGUGGCGCACGGGUGAGUAACACGUAAGUAAUCUACCCUCGAGUGGGGAAUAACAGUCGGAAACGACUGCUAAUACCGCAUAAUGCAGCGGCACCGCAAGGUGACAGUUGUUAAAGGAGCAAUCCGCUUGAGGAGGAGCUUGCGGCAGAUUAGCUAGUUGGUAAGGGAAUGGCUUACCAAGGCUACGAUCUGUAUCCGGUCUAAGAGGACGGUCGGACACACUGACACUGAAUAACGGGUCAGACUCCUAAGGGAGGCAGCAGUCGGGAUUUUUGGGCAAUGGGCGAAAGCCUGACCCAGCAACGCCGCGUGAAGGAUGAAGUAUUUCGGUAUGUAAACUUCGAAAGAAUGAGAAGAAUAAAUGACGGUACCAUUUAUAAGCUCCGGCUAACUACGUGCCAGCCGCCGCGGUAACAC
rnacentral:rRNA from 1 species